CCGGGAAACUCAACCAGAUAAGACAGCUGAAUGAUAGUCGGGCUGAAGACUCUACUUGACUAGCUGAGAGGAGGUGCAUGGCCGUCGUCAGUUCGUACUGUGAAGCAUCCUGUUAAGUCAGGCAACGAGCGAGACCCACGCCAGCAGUUGCCAGCUCGUCCGUCCGGGAUGGGUGGGACACUUGGUUGGGACCGCCUCUGCUAAAGAGGAGGAAGGAAUGGGCAACGGUAGGUCAGCAUGCCCCGAAUUAUCUGGGCUACACGCGGGCUACAAUGGGUGGGACAAUGGGUAUCGACACCGAAAGGUGAAGGCAAUCUCCUAAACCCAUCCGUAGUUCGGAUUGUGGGCUGCAACUCGCCCACAUGAAGCUGGAAUCUGUAGUAAUCGCGUUUCAACAGAACGCGGUGAAUACGUCCCUGCUCCUU
rnacentral:rRNA from 1 species